rnacentral:rRNA from 1 species
UACAGAGGUCUCAAGCGUUUGUUCGGAUUCAUUGGGCGUAAAGGGUGCGUAGGCGGCGCGGUAAGUCGGGGUGUGAAAUCUCGGAGCUUAACUCCGAAACUGCAUUCGAUACUGCCGUGCUUGAGGACUGGAGAGGAGACUGGAAUUUACGGUGUAGCGGUGAAAUGCGUAGAUAUCGUAAGGAAGACCAGUGGCGAAGGCGGGUCUCUGGACAGUUCCUGACGCUGAGGCACGAAGGCCAGGGGGAGCAAAACGGG